AUCAUCACUUUAGCAUUUGCCAUG
rnacentral:siRNA from 1 species